rfam:Triticum aestivum genome assembly, contig: Triticum_aestivum_CS42_TGACv1_scaffold_235176_3B
GUAAUACUCCCUCCGUUCGGAAUUACUGUCACAAAAAUGGAUGUAUCUACAACUAAAAUACACCUAGAUACAUUCAUUUCUUGGACGAGUAAUUCUGAACGGAGGGAGUAGUAU